GAUGAACGCUGGCGGCGUGCCUAAUACAUGCAAGUCGAGCGAACGGACGAGAAGCUUGCUUCUCUGAUGUUAGCGGCGGACGGGUGAGUAACACGUGGAUAACCUACCUAUAAGACUGGGAUAACUUCGGGAAACCGGAGCUAAUACCGGAUGAUAUUUUGAACCGCAUGGUUCAAAAGUGAAAGACGGUCUUGCUGUCACUUAUAGAUGGAUCCGCGCUGCAUUAGCUAGUUGGUAAGGUAACGGCUUACCAAGGCAACGAUGCAUAGCCGACCUGAGAGAGUGAGCGGCCACACUGGAACUGAGACACGGUCCAGACUCCUACGGGAGGCAGCAGUAGGGAAUCUUCCGCAAUGGGCGAAAGCCUGACGGAGCAACGCCGCGUGAGUGAUGAAGGUCUUCGGAUCGUAAAACUCUGUUAUUAGGGAAGAACAUAUGUGUAAGUAACUGUGCACAUCUUGACGGUACCUAAUCAGAAAGCCACGGCUAACUACGUG
rnacentral:rRNA from 1 species